rnacentral:rRNA from 1 species
AACGAACGCUGGCGGCAUGCCUAACACAUGCAAGUCGAACGAGACCUUCGGGUCUAGUGGCGCACGGGUGCGUAACGCGUGGGAACCUGCCCUUAGGUUCGGAAUAACUCCCCGAAAGGGGUGCUAAUACCGGAUAAUGUCUUCGGACCAAAGAUUUAUCGCCUUUGGAUGGGCCCGCGUUGGAUUAGCUAGUUGGUAGGGUAAAAGCCUACCAAGUCGACGAUCCAUAGCUGGUCUGAGAGGAUGAUCAGCCACACUGGGACUGAGACACAGCCCAGACUCCUACGGGAGGCAGCAGUGGGGAAUAUUGGACAAUGGGCGAAAGCCUGAUCCAGCAAUGCCGCGUGAGUGAUGAAGGCCUUAGGGUUGUAAAGCUCUUUUACCCGGGAUGAUAAUGACAGUACCGGGAGAAUAAGCUCCGGCUAACUCCGUG